rnacentral:rRNA from 1 species
GUGGGGAAUAUUGGGCAAUGGGGGCAACCCUGACCCAGCGACGCCGCGUGAGGGAAGAAGGCCUUAGGGUCGUAAACCUCUGUUGUGUGGGAAGAAGGAAGUGACGGUACCACACGAGGAAGUCCCGGCUAACUACGUGCCAGCAGCCGCGGUAAUACGUAGGGGACGAGCGUUGUCCGGAAUUACUGGGCGUAAAGGGCGCGUAGGCGGUCAUUUAAGUCAGCUGUGAAAUGGUCCGUCUCAACCGGAUCUGGCGAUUGAAACUGGAUGACUGGAGUGCUGGAGAGGCAAGUGGAAUUCCCAGGGUAGCGGUGAAAUGCGUAGAUAUUGGGAAGAACACCGGUGGCGAAGGCGACUUGCUGGCCAGCAACUGACGCUGAGGCGCGAAAGCCAGGGGAGCAAACGGGAUUAGAUACCCCGGUAGUCC